UGGAAAUGGUUUGGAUUUGUGUGGUAUUUGGGUUUGUGCUCCUAUACCCUGUCUGAUGUGCAUAAUGGUAUUCUCUUUCUCCUCCAGGCAAUGGUCUCCCUCUAUUCCACUAAGAGAGUGUUUUAGGUAUGUCAUCCUCAUCAUCAUCUGUGACUUCAAGGCAGGGAUUAUCUGAGAGGCAACUGGAAUUUCACUUGCUUCUUAUUUCUGUUCUUCCUCGGCUCCAAUUUCAGGCAGAUGUCCUUUCACUGCAUUGAUUUCAGCGACCCAGUGGUUAAAGGCUACUCUGACUGGAGUUGGAUCAUGGGAAGUGUUUUGCAAUAGAGAGAUGGGAAUUCAAAACUGGAGACACUUCCUUAUUUCCUUCUUUGUCACGUGUUAUGAGGGAUCAGAGAGAAACCACACCUUUGGACCUUCAUCCUUACCGCUUUGGCUUCAGCUUCAGACACCUGCCAGGACUUCGAGCCCUUUUGGUGAAGACUCUAGAAGGAGGAGCACGUGAUUCCAUUCCUUGUGAAAAUGCUGGGUCAUUGUGCAAGUGGGUUGAGAGAAUACUGAUGUGUAAUGAAAGCAAUGUUACAAUUUUAUCAUAACCUAUGCAACAGCAGACCAAGGAGAAGACAAUGUCAAAGAGGAUUCUUUAGUGAAGAAAUAUGAUGAAAAUCAUCCAGGAAAAUGGUGUGACUAUAGGCAAGUGAGUACUUAGAAAUGUAUUUUAUUUUUUAAUGCAUUUGAUUUAUAUAUCUCGUUUCUUUUUUCUAUUCAUGAGAAGAUUGGCCCUGAGCUAACAUCUUUUGCUUAUCUUCCUCUUUUUUUAUUUUCUCCCCAAAGCCCCAGUACAUAGUUGCAUAUCCUAAUUGGAAGUCCUUCUCAUUCUUUUAUGUGGGAUGCUGCCACAGCAUGGCUUGAUGAGCUGUGUGCAGGUCCAUGCCUAGGAUCCAAAUCAGUGAACCCCGGGCUGCCAAAGCAGAGUGCACGAAUUUCACCACUAUACCACCUGGCCAGCC
rnacentral:lncRNA from 1 species